UCAAAACGAGCGAGGGAACUCUGACGGAGACGACGAGAAUUUGCAGCCAUGGCAGAAGAUCUGGUGCUGGAUACGGCGAUAAGAGACUGGGUACUGAUCCCUCUAUCCGUAGUUAUGGUUCUUAUCGGCGUACUCCGCUACUUCGUCUCCAAGCUCAUGCGCUCGUAUCAAGUUCCCGAUGCCAAGAUCGUCAAAGAAGGCCAAGUAAUUGUCAGGGCUCGGAAUUUGCG
rnacentral:misc_RNA from 1 species